AGCAUGAACACAACCUUGCCUCGGAAAGCAUACGUGGGAAAAUAUGCCAGGGGGGUAGCUCCCCAAUUCUCCUGCCCAAAGAUGUUUGCCAUAGACUACGCUGACUGGCCCAUUCAGGAGCCCCUCGGGUUUCCGCUGGACCUACCCUUCUGAUUUGAGAUCAUCCACGUGUUUUCCCACCUCCGGAGGCUUUUAUUUUCUGCUUCCUCCCUUCUUAGUACAGUGCCAAUCACUGCUCUCCCCCGCCGCCCCCCUCCCCAAAGGCUCUCUGAGGCUGCUCCCUUUGUGAUUGGCAUCUCAUUAAUGAAGAAGGGCUGGUGUCUCUCAUUACAGUUAGAGUGAGUGAGAGGACCUCAGAACUAAUUUACUUGCUCUCACUAGGGAAGACACUUGCCUCCAUCAAGAACUUCACUUUCCUGCUGCCUGUGGCAAUAAAAGAACCCGUUUUGUUUUAACAUUAAUAAGGAAAUUCCACUCAUUGAUAAAGCUCGGCUUCGACGCCCCUGCUCACAAUGAAAUACCUUCCUUGCCAACCACAUUGCUUUAUGAUCGUGCCCCUUUACCACAUUGUACUUGAAAUGCCUUGUCAUUUAAGAAACCAUAAAAACGACGUCUUUAAAAAUGGGUUCAUCAUUUAGCUGGAGAUGGCUUCUGUGCCUGGAACCAGAAGCCUGUCCUCUCGGUGGUAUGCCUCCACAAAAGGAAGCGAGCUACCACAAAGGACAGCAUCAUGUGUUGCCUUCAUUGCUAUUGAAUCGGGAAGUUGGUGCCCAGUUUCAACAUGGAUGACAAAGUAGUGGGAAUCUGAAAUGCCUACAGUAGAAGCUAUUUUUGAACGAGAAGGACUUUGGCUCAAAUCAACAGUUUGGUUUCUUACUGUUUACAUCUAUGAGUCAAAGUAGCUUGCUCCCAGGAUCCCCCACCAAACCGAAUGAAAAUAAAUUCAAUGUGUGCCCACUGA